rnacentral:rRNA from 1 species
UACAGAGGUGGCAAGCGUUGUUCGGAAUUACUGGGCGUAAAGGGCGCGUAGGCGGCCUUCUAAGUCGGACGUGAAAGCCCCAGGCUUAACCUGGGAACUGCGUCCGAUACUGGAAGGCUUGGAUUCGGGAGAGGGAUGUGGAAUUCCAGGUGUAGCGGUGAAAUGCGUAGAUAUCUGGAGGAACACCGGUGGCGAAGGCGGCAUCCUGGACCAAUUCUGACGCUGAGGAGCGAAAGCCAGGGGAGCAAACGGG